rnacentral:rRNA from 1 species
UACGUAGACCUCAAGCGUUAUCCGGAAUUAUUGGGCGUAAAGCGCGUGUAGGAGGUCCGAUGCGUCUCUGGUUAAAGCCCACCGCCUAACGGUGGAACCGCCAGGGAAACGAUCGGACUAGAGGAGGUUAGAGGUAAGCGGAACGCACGGUGUAGGGGUGAAAUCCGUUGAUAUCGUGCGGAACACCAAAGGCGAAGGCAGCUUACUGGGACCUUCCUGACUCUGAGACGCGAAAGCGUGGGGAGCAAAAAGG